rnacentral:rRNA from 1 species
AUUCUGGCUCAGGAUGAACGCUGGCGGCGUGCUUAACACAUGCAAGUCGAACGAUGAAGCCAGCUUGCUGGUGGAUUAGUGGCGAACGGGUGAGUAACACGUGAGUAACCUGCCCUUAACUCUGGGAUAAGCCUGGGAAACUGGGUCUAAUACCGGAUAUGACUCCUCAUCGCAUGGUGGGGGGUGGAAAGCUUUUGUGGUUUUGGAUGGACUCGCGGCCUAUCAGCUUGUUGGUGAGGUAAUGGCUCACCAAGGCGACGACGGGUAGCCGGCCUGAGAGGGUGACCGGCCACACUGGGACUGAGACACGGCCCAGACUCCUACGGGAGGCAGCAGUGGGGAAUAUUGCACAAUGGGCGGAAGCCUGAUGCAGCGACGCCGCGUGAGGGAUGACGGCCUUCGGGUUGUAAACCUCUUUCAGUAGGGAAGAAGCGAAAGUGACGGUACCUGCAGAAGAAGCGCCGGCUAACUACGUGCCAGCAGCCGCGGUAAUACGUAGGGCGCAAGCGUUAUCCGGAAUUAUUGGGCGUAAAGAGCUCGUAGGCGGUUUGUCGCGUCUGCCGUGAAAGUCCGGGGCUCAACUCCGGAUCUGCGGUGGGUACGGGCAGACUAGAGUGAUGUAGGGGAGACUGGAAUUCCUGGUGUAGCGGUGAAAUGCGCAGAUAUCAGGAGGAACACCGAUGGCGAAGGCAGGUCUCUGGGCAUUAACUGACGCUGAGGAGCGAAAGCAUGGGGAGCGAACAGGAUUAGAUACCCUGGUAGUCCAUGCCGUAAACGUUGGGCACUAGGUGUGGGGGACAUUCCACGUUUUCCGCGCCGUAGCUAACGCAUUAAGUGCCCCGCCUGGGGAGUACGGCCGCAAGGCUAAAACUCAAAGGAAUUGACGGGGGCCCGCACAAGCGGCGGAGCAUGCGGAUUAAUUCGAUGCAACGCGAAGAACCUUACCAAGGCUUGACAUGAACCGGUAAGACCUGGAAACAGGUCCCCCACUUGUGGCCGGUUUACAGGUGGUGCAUGGUUGUCGUCAGCUCGUGUCGUGAGAUGUUGGGUUAAGUCCCGCAACGAGCGCAACCCUCGUUCCAUGUUGCCAGCGCGUUAUGGCGGGGACUCAUGGGAGACUGCCGGGGUCAACUCGGAGGAAGGUGGGGACGACGUCAAAUCAUCAUGCCCCUUAUGUCUUGGGCUUCACGCAUGCUACAAUGGCCGGUACAAAGGGUUGCGAUACUGUGAGGUGGAGCUAAUCCCAAAAAGCCGGUCUCAGUUCGGAUUGGGGUCUGCAACUCGACCCCAUGAAGUCGGAGUCGCUAGUAAUCGCAGAUCAGCAACGCUGCGGUGAAUACGAUCCCGGGCCUUGCACUCACCGCCCGUC